CUUGACCGACCCGAGCAUGAGCGGGCGGUCCUCGGGGCGGUUCUGGCCGUAGGUGGCGAGCAGGGCCUGAGCCUC
rnacentral:antisense_RNA from 1 species